AAACUCCACAACGAAAGGAGCAUAUGUUCAACAUCGGACUAAAAAUUCAAAUAUGCAUUGACUUUAAGUGUGUAACUGUCCUGGAGAUGGGAUACCAGUCCUUCACAUCACAGCUCACACUCAGGCAUACCUCCAUACCAGACACCGAUGCACUUGGUAUGUACAUGUUUAGGAUAUGGGAGGAAACUACAGUACCAAGAGAAAAAUCAAACAGACAUGGAGAAAAUGUACAAAUUGCACGCACAGAGAGUGACCAGGUUGGGAAUCCAAUACUGUUCUGUUUAACCAUGAGGCUGAAUUGUCGCCCACUCAGUUCUCUUUAAGCUUGUAACUUCACCCAUCCAUUUUUAAAUCCACUUAAGAGUCCCAGGAGUCCGAGUCUGUUGCAGAAGGAUUAGGCACUACAAGGCAGGCUCCAGCGGUGAAAUUGCCACCUGUACAUUACAGGGCAUAUCCAUGCAUAUCCCAACGCCCUCUAUGUUUAGAGUCACCAAUCAGCCCAACAAUCACAAGUUUUGAAUGUUUGCGGAAACGCAGAGUUUUCUGAGGAACAACCCAAGCCUACCUGAGAAGAACAUGCAAAGAGCACAAUGACCAGGCUGGGAUCUGAACCCAGGACUCCGGAGCUAUGUAGCAGCAGGACUCACUGUGACGCUUGUAAAUGGAAGUGCCCAAUGUAAUAGGAAAAUUGAAUGAUUCUGUGUUUAUAAUUAGAUGUGUUCAUUAUUAGAUACGUUCAGCAAAUCACAUGAUACUGUAUACUUCUUAUUACAGUGAGGGAAAUGAAAUAAAUAGAUUAUUAAGCUGAAUAGGGGAAUGUGAUCAGCUGAAAUGAUUCAACCGAAAAAGGACAAUCUACACAUCUCCUAGCAUUAUUUUGAAAACUACUUCUUCAGCUAUCAGUCUAUUUUACAUUAACCACAGAAUAUUCAGUAGCUGCAAUACAUUGGUUGGACAGUUUUGUAAAUAGAAAUACAUUGUCAACUUAAACUAACACAAAAUUAACGGUCUUACAAAUCUAGACAGGUGUAUCCUUAUGCCAACUGUGGUGAACAGCAGGGUGUCAAGGGUGGGCCUGUCUGCUCUGUUGUUCUAGGGACAGUGCCAUCUGUAUGCAGAUUUCAGUGACUUCAUAUUCACACUAUGUACAUGUUCCUCAGUGCCACAUAAUUAUCACAAAAUCUGCACACAUCUUAUAGGACAAAUAGACACACUUAAAAGGUGUGGAUUAGCCUUCUUCCAGAUGUCUCUUAGUGAAUAAAUACAAGAUAGCGCACUGAGCAUGGGUUAUUAAAGAUUAGAAAAAUUUGGAUAAUGAAGUCAACAGGAUUUAUACAGCAGCAGUGGGUUUAAUGGCUAAGAUAUGUAUCUGUAAAUCAGCUCAGUCUCCAUACAGACUCACCUUCUGCCACUUCAGCUGCCAGGCAUCCAGCUGUGGAAGUAUGAAGUAAUGGGGCCAUGCAUUUUUAAG